UUCAUCCUUAGAAUAUUCAGCAGCCUUAAUAUGGUAGUUUUGGGUCAAAAAAGUUCAACUGGAUAAUAGUGAAAAAGGACCUCUUUUUUGGAGGAUUAAAAGUUUAUUAUUUUAAAAAGGGUGAGUCUGAUCAUUAUUAAAAGAUGAAUCUGACAGUCUUAGUCUGUUCAGGCUGCUACAAUGGAAUAUCAUGGACUGGUUGGCUUAAACAACAAAUUUAUUUUUUAGUGUGCUGGAGGCUGGAAGUCCAAGAUCAAAGUGCCUUCAGAUCCAGUGUCUAGUGAGGACUUCCUGGUUUGCAAAUGGCCAUCUGGAUCCUUGUGCUGCAGGGAGAAGAGAGAGGAAACUCUCACGUCUGUUCUCAUAAGGGCACUAAUCCUAUUUGUAAGGCUCUGCCCUCAUGACCUAUUUACCUCCCAAAGGCUCCACUUCCUAAUACCAUCCCACUGGGGUUUAGGAUUUCAACACACACAAUUGGGGAAACACGAACAUCCAGUCCAAAACAAUGGGGAAGAAAAAUGAACCCACGAGAAGCAAGUCCUCAGUUGAGACCCUGGCAAAAUAAUGCAUGUCUUCACCUUGAACGAGACUGACUCCUUACCGUUUAUAAAGGGUAGACUCGCUUCUUUCAUCCAUCCACAUCUGAUCCAGCCUCCCAAGAAAGCAGUAAUUGCUGUUCAGGUCAGCAAAAGGGGGCAGAAGGGAAAAGAGUGGCCUCAUGUUCAUUUAAAAUGAUGAACUUUCCCAGCUAUCCUUG
rnacentral:lncRNA from 1 species